rnacentral:rRNA from 1 species
UACGUAGGGUCCGAGCGUUGUCCGGAAUUACUGGGCGUAAAGAGCUCGUAGGCGGUUUGUCGCGUCUGCUGUGAAAACUCGAGGCUCAACCUCGGGCUUGCAGUGGGUACGGGCAGACUAGAGUGCGUAGGGGUGACUGGAAUCCUGGUGUAGCGGUGGAAUGCGCAGAUAUCAGGAGGAACACCGAUGGCGAAGGCAGAUCUCUGGGCCGUAACUGACGCUGAGGAGCGAAAGCGUGGGGGAGCGAACAGG